GAUGAACGCUGGCGGCGUGCCUAAUACAUGCAAGUCGAGCGAACGGACGAGAAGCUUGCUUUUCUGAUGUUAGCGACGGACGGGGGAGUAAAACGUGGAUAACCUACCUAUAAGACUGGGAUAACUUCGGGAAACCGGAGCUAAUACCGGAUAAUAUUUUGAACCGCAUGGUUCAAAAGUGAAAGACGGUCUUGCUGUCACUUAUAGAUGGAUCCGCGCUGCAUUAGCUAGUUGGUAAGGUAACGGCUUACCAAGGCAACGAUGCAUAGCCGACCUGAGAGGGUGAUCGGCCACACUGGAACUGAGACACGGUCCAGACUCCUACGGGAGGCAGCAGUAGGGAAUCUUCCGCAAUGGGCGAAAGCCUGACGGAGCAACGCCGCGUGAGUGAUGAAGGUCUUCGGAUCGUAAAACUCUGUUAUUAGGGAAGAACAUAUGUGUAAGUAACUGUGCACAUCUUGACGGUACCUAAUCAGAAAGCCACGGCUAACUACGUG
rnacentral:rRNA from 1 species